rnacentral:rRNA from 1 species
UGCCAGCAGCCGCGGUAACACGGGGGGCGCAAGCGUUAUUCGGAAUUAUUGGGCGUAAAGGGUGCGUAGGCGGACAAUUAAGUCAGUGGUGAAAUACUUCGGCUCAACCGGAGAGGUGCCAUUGAUACUGGUUGUCUAGAGUACAGACGAGGUAGGCGGAAUUUAUGGUGUAGCGGUGAAAUGCAUAGAUACCAUAAAGAACACCGAUAGCGAAGGCAGCUUACUAGACUGUAACUGACGCUGAGGCACGAAAGCGUGGGUAGCGAACAGGAUUAGAUA